GAUGAACGCUGGCGGCGUGCCUAAUACAUGCAAGUCGAGCGAACGGACGAGAAGCUUGCUUCUCUGAUGUUAGCGGCGGACGGGUGAGUAACACGUGGAUAACCUACCUAUAAGACUGGGAUAACUUCGGGAAACCGGAGCUAAUACCGGAUAAUAUUUUGAACCGCAUGGUUCAAAAGUGAAAGACGGUCUUGCUGUCACUUAUAGAUGGAUCCGCGCUGCAUUAGCUAGUUGGUAAGGUAACGGCUUACCAAGGCAACGAUGCAUAGCCGACCUGAGAGGGUGAUCGGCCACACUGGAACUGAGACACGGUCCAGACUCCUACGGGAGGCAGCAGUAGGGAAUCUUCCGCAAUGGGCGAAAGCCUGACGGAGCAACGCCGCGUGAGUGAUGAAGGUCUUCGGAUCGUAAAACUCUGUUAUUAGGGAAGAACAUAUGUGUAAGUAACUGUGCACAUCUUGACGGUACCUAAUCAGAAAGCCACGGCUAACUACGUGCCAGCAGCCGCGGUAAUACGUAGGUGGCAAGCGUUAUCCGGAAUUAUUGGGCGUAAAGCGCGCGUAGGCGGUUUUUUAAGUCUGAUGUGAAAGCCCGCGGCUCAACCGUGGAGGGUCAUUGGAAACUGGAAAACUUGAGUGCAGAAGAGGAAAGUGGAAUUCCAUGUGUAGCGGUGAAAUGCGCAGAGAUAUGGAGGAACACCGGUGGCGAAGGCGACUUUCUGGUCUGUAACUGACGCUGAUGUGCGAAAGCGUGGGGAUCAAACAGGAUUAGAUACCCUGGUAGUCCACGCCGUAAACGAUGAGUGCUAAGUGUUAGGGGGUUUCCGCCCCUUAGUGCUGCAGCUAACGCAUUAAGCACUCCGCCUGGGGAGUACGACCGCAAGGUUGAAACUCAAAGGAAUUGACGGGGACCCGCACAAGCGGUGGAGCAUGUGGUUUAAUUCGAAGCAACGCGAAGAACCUUACCAAAUCUUGACAUCCUUUGACAACUCUAGAGAUAGAGCUUUCCCCUUCGGGGGACAAAGUGACAGGUGGUGCAUGGUUGUCGUCAGCUCGUGUCGUGAGAUGUUGGGUUAAGUCCCGCAACGAGCGCAACCCUUAAGCUUAGUUGCCAUCAUUAAGUUGGGCACUCUAAGUUGACUGCCGGUGACAAACCGGAGGAAGGUGGGGAUGACGUCAAAUCAUCAUGCCCCUUAUGAUUUGGGCUACACACGUGCUACAAUGGACAAUACAAAGGGCAGCGAAACCGUGAGGUCAAGCAAAUCCCAUAAAGUUGUUCUCAGUUCGGAUUGUAGUCUGCAACUCGACUACAUGAAGCUGGAAUCGCUAGUAAUCGUAGAUCAGCAUGCUACGGUGAAUACGUUCCCGGGUCU
rnacentral:rRNA from 1 species